GGGUCGUUAGUUCAGCGGUAGAACGCUUUCCUGAUAAGAAAGAGGCGAAUGGUCCGACUCCAUUACGACCCA
rnacentral:tRNA from 1 species